AUUGAACGCUGGCGGCAGGCCUAACACAUGCAAGUCGAACGGUAACAGGAAAUAGCUUGCUGUUUCGCUGACGAGUGGCGGACGGGUGAGUAAUGUCUGGGAAACUGCCUGAUGGAGGGGGAUAACUACUGGAAACGGUAGCUAAUACCGCAUAACGUCGCAAGACCAAAGAGGGGGACCCUCGGGCCUCUUGCCAUCGGAUGUGCCCAGAUGGGAUUAGCUUGUUGGUGGGGUAACGGCUCACCAAGGCGACGAUCCCUAGCUGGUCUGAGAGGAUGACCAGCCACACUGGAACUGAGACACGGUCCAGACUCCUACGGGAGGCAGCAGUGGGGAAUAUUGCACAAUGGGCGCAAGCCUGAUGCAGCCAUGCCGCGUGUAUGAAGAAGGCCUUCGGGUUGUAAAGUACUUUCAGCGGGGAGGAAGGGAGUAAAGUUAAUACCUUUGCUCAUUGACGUUACCCGCAGAAGAAGCACCGGCUAACUCCGU
rnacentral:rRNA from 1 species